AGCGAACGCUGGCGGCAGGCCUAACACAUGCAAGUCGAACGAACUCUUCGGAGUUAGUGGCGGACGGGUGAGUAACACGUGGGAACGUGCCUUUAGGUUCGGAAUAACUCAGGGAAACCUGUGCUAAUACCGAAUGUGCCCUUCGGGGGAAAGAUUUAUCGCCUUUAGAGCGGCCCGCGUCUGAUUAGCUAGUUGGGGAGGUAAUGGCUCACCAAGGCUACGAUCAGUAGCUGGUCUGAGAGGAUGACCAGCCACAUUGGGACUGAGACACGGCCCAAACUCCUACGGGAGGCAGCAGUGGGGAAUCUUGCGCAAUGGGCGAAAGCCUGACGCAGCCAUGCCGCGUGGAUGAUGAAGGUCUUAGGAUUGUAAAAUCCUUUCACCGGUGAAGAUAAUGACUGUAGCCGGAGAAGAAGCCCCGGCUAACUUCGUGCCAGCAGCCGCAGUAACAC
rnacentral:rRNA from 1 species